rnacentral:rRNA from 1 species
UACGUAGGGGGCUAGCGUUGUCCGGAAUCAUUGGGCGUAAAGAGCGUGUAGGCGGUUAUACAGGUCCGCUGUGAAAACUGGAGGCUUAACCUCCAGACGUCGGUGGAAACCGUAUGACUAGAGUCCGGAAGAGGAGAGUGGAAUUCCUGGUGUAGCGGUGAAAUGCGCAGAUAUCAGGAAGAACACCCGUGGCGAAGGCGGCUCUCUGGGACGGUACUGACGCUGAACGGCGAAAGCUAGGGGAGCAAACGGG